rnacentral:rRNA from 1 species
GACGAACGCUGGCGGCGUGCUUAACACAUGCAAGUCGAACGGAAAGGCCCUGCUUUUGUGGGGUGCUCGAGUGGCGAACGGGUGAGUAACACGUGAGUAACCUGCCCUUGACUUUGGGAUAACUUCAGGAAACUGGGGCUAAUACCGGAUAGGAGCUCCUGCUGCAUGGUGUGGUUUGGAAAGUUUCGGCGGUUGGGGAUGGACUCGCGGCUUAUCAGCUUGUUGGUGGGGUAGUGGCUUACCAAGGCUUUGACGGGUAGCCGGCCUGAGAGGGUGAACGGCCACCUUGGGACUGAGAUACGGACCAGAAUCCUACGGGAGGCAGCAGUGGGGAAUAUUGCCCAAUGGGCGGAAGCCUGAUGCAGCAACGCCGCGUGCGGGAUGACGGCCUUCGGGUUGUAAACCGCUUUCGCCUGUGACGAAGCGUGAGUGACGGUAAUGGGUAAAGAAGCACCGGCUAACUACGUG